rnacentral:lncRNA from 1 species
UUUUAUUUUUUAUAAAUGGCAAAGAAUUUGAAUAGAAAUUUCUCCAAUGAAGAUAUAUAAAUGGCCAAAAAGCACAUAAAAAGAUGUUCAAUGUCAUUAGUAAUUAGAGAAAUGUAAAUCAAAACCAAUAAAGUACCAUUUUACUCCCAAUAGGAAGGCUACAAUAAAAAAAAAAGAGACACUAACAAGGGUUGGCAAAACUCAAAACAUAUGUCUUUGCAAAAACCUGCACAUGAAUGUUCACAGCAGCAUUAUUCAUAAUAGCUAAAAAGUAAAAACAGCCCAAUGUCUGUCAACUGAUGAAUGGAUAAACAAAACGUGGUCCAUCUAUACAAUGAAAUAUUAUUCAUCAAUAAAAAGUAAUGAAGUACUGAUACAUGCUAUAACAUGGAUGAAACUUGAAAACAUGCUAAGUGAAAAAAUCCAGAUACAAAAAGCCUAUGUUGAAUGAUUCCAUUUAUGUGAAAUAUCCAGAACAGGCAAAUCUAUAGAGCCUGAAAGUAGAUUACUGUUUGCUAGGGGCUAAGGGAAAGGGGGUGGAAUGGCGAGUGACUACUAAUGGGUACAUGAUUUCUUUUGAAAGUGAUGAAAAUGAUCUGGAAUUAGAUAAUGGUGAUGGUUACAUGAUCUUGUGAAUCAUAUACUUUAAAAGGGGUAAAUUUUAUGUUAUGUGAAUUAUAUCUCAAUAAGAACCAAAGAAGUCUUGGGGAAAAAAGGGUUAUACACUGUGUGUUACCUUUUGUAGAAAAAAGAAGGGACAAAUGUCUCCAUUUACUUUUGCAAAAAGACAUGUAGGAAGAAUAAAACAGAAAACAAUAAAAUCAUUUAUCUACAAAGGAUAGGAGUGGAGGAACAGGAUAUUUUAUGCUGGAUGAUUCAUCCUAGUCAAUAUUCUAGAGUUAUACACGAAGAAAAAAGUUGUUAGCAAAUCACUAAAAAUUAAGAGAGUUGGUAAAGAUUUGGACAUGUGUUGACUUCACAUUAGGAAAGGAGGGAAAGAGUGAAGGAAAGAGGAUAAAAAAAUAGAAAAGAAGGGAGAAAGAGAGGGAGAGAAGAGGAGGAGAGGAAGGAAAGAAGGGAGGAGAAAGGCGGCAGGCUAACGGGAAGAAGGGGCUGAAGGGGUAGCUUGGCAUUGGCUGUCAUAGUGGUAGACAUGUCAAACAUGCCUCAGGUUUUUGUAUCUUACAGGCUGACCUUCACAUCAGUAGGAGAGGCCCAUUGGGGCAUGUGAUAGAAGGAUGCCUGUUGGACAGCCACCAUCAAAGCAUUUUUCUGAGCCGCUUGGCAUGCAAGGGUCACUUGCAUAUUUUCCACUCCUGAAUGGAAUAAGAGCUAAAGAAAGAAAAUGUGAAAGUUAGUAGGAAUUUUGGCCAUAAAGAGGAGAUGAAGUUGAGGAUUUGAGAUCACCACCUAUUUAACAUGUAAACAUAUGAAUCAAACUGCAGGAUGAUCUGAGAUCCUUGCUUCUCAGCCACAGGACUGAAUCUGGUCUCUCUCUAAGCACCAUUUCAUACUGGGAAGGCAGCCUCCAGGCCUGAUUUGCUCUGUAGCUAGUGACCAUCAGGUUUCUGAUCAGAAAAGGAUGAGUAGGCUCUGACAAACCAGCAAACAUGUGCUCAGUGGCAGCCUUUUAAAGCAACCAAGAUUAGGUUAAUGCUUAAAAAAUACAGGGGUGCCUAGGUGACUCGGUUAGGUAAGCAUUCAACUUCGGCUAAAUAAGGUAAGGGUAUCAUCAUUACUUAGGAAGUUAGAAGCCUCUCUUCGACAUGGGAGCCAAACGUAUAUGAAUUGCAAAUUGCUUAAUUUUACUUUAGUGUCUUUAAAAAACACAAUUUACCUUAAGAAUGGAUUCCUUUGUAUAAAAGCUAAACUUGCCAACCUGGUUAUCAUCCACCUCAGAGAUGGCUAAGACAAGAGUAGUAGGAGAAUAUCUGCAAGAAGAAACAUGACAUUGUUCUGAUGUACCAUGACAUUGGUCAAGACAUGCUCAUUCCGAUGGGACAUCAGCAAUGAUAGCAAGUGCAGAUAUUACACAAGACUUGAUAUUUCUGCUCAAAGCCUGAAGGGCUCUGGGGUCUUUCAAUCCUUGUUGGACUUGAUCUCUCUGCAGUUUCCUUAUGGUGAUCACCAACUCUGAAUUCUUUUCUCCUGAUCCCCAUUCCACUGUUUUAUCUUGUUUCUCUUUGUACCUUCAACCUCAUGUCCUCAGGCUCUUCACUGACUCAAAUCCCUUUGUCCAUUCCCUAAAAGCUGUCCAGUUUUUGCUCUCUUCCAUUGUCCCAACAAUUACCUAAAUGUUCUUUGCAACCAUGUUUAUGCCUUGGGAUACAGUCCUUUGUCCGUACCUAUGAGACUUUGUUGAGUAAUUUAAUAUCUAUGAAUCUCAGUUUGUUCAUCUGUAAAGGGAGAUAGUACCUAUCUCAUAGGGUUAUGGCAAAUAUUAAGUGGGAUAAUAUCCACAAACGUGCUUUUUAAAAUGUAAGCCACUUGCUCAUGUUUGAUAUAUGUUGUUAUAACAACACUCCAAAGUGGCAAUUUUAAGAGAUUAACAUACAUAAAAGCAAACUCAAGAGACAAGAUCCUUGGAUACAUAAACCUUCCCUAGGUAAUUCAGAAGGCUCCCCAGAUCUGGCAGGAUCUUUUGGGUCAUUGUUGGGAAAACCAAUCACAACUUGACCAGGCCACAGAUCAUUUGGGCACUUUGUGCUGAUUGGUUGAUUCCAGGUGAACAAAAAUAUGUCCUGUUUUACAUCAGUAUAAAAUACCAGCUCCAACAGGAGGCCCUUGAAGAGCCAGAGAAUAACUUGGCUCCAGGUUGGAGACGUAGCUAGCUUUGCCUGAGGUCCAAUCACACUUCCUUCCUUCAGUUUCUGUAGACAUCUCUAUAUCCUUAUUAUAAAUUCUCUUUUUGGUUUAGCUAGUGUGACAGGAUGAAGCAGGAAAUAUUUUGCCUCCAGGAAACUUUUGGCAGUGUCUGGAGACAUUUUUGAUUGUUACAAAUGGGGAGGAGAAGGGGUACAACUGGCAUCUGGUAGGUAGUGGUCAGAAGUGCGGAUAAACAACCUCUGCUGCACAUGACAGCCCCCUAUAAGAAAGAGUUAUCCAGCCCUAAAUUUCAAUAAUGCCAAGGUUGAGAAACUUUAGGAUACCAUAUUCUAUGACCCUAACCCAUCUCAGCCCACAGUCUCUUUGGAGAAGAGAGGAGUCCUUUAACAUAUUAACACAUCAAAGUUACAUUUUGAGCACUGAUCCACACUAGAAAAACAAAGGUGAUUUUUUUCCUCCUUGGAGUCAUCUUUGCUUUCCUUGGGGUGGGGCCAGUACCAGGAAUCUCCAGGGAUAGAGCUAGGACCCUCAAGGGAAGGGCAGACUAGAAGAGAAGGAAAGAAGAGGGAGACAAGUUUCUCCUCAGCACACAUCAAAGGCUGACUCUGCAAGGAGGAAAAAGAUUCCUUUCUGCGACUAAGUAGACUCAUGACCUGUUACUGUUAAGAGUGUUUUCUUUCCAGCAAUGAGUUGAACCUAUGGGGCAUAAAGAAGUUUCACUGCUUUAAAUCCAUCUGUUGCUGGCCAACAAGAGUCUGACUGAGAUACCGCCAUACAUGUUAGAUUUGCACAUUGUAUUAGAAAUGCAAUGUUCAAGGAAACAGCUGCUCAAAAAACUUGACUGACUUCUUCCUGGUCUCAGGGUAAGUGGGAGAAGGGAUCUGGACUUCUGAUCCAUGGUUCUUGCCCCCUGAGACAAACUCUCACACCCUUUUUUCCCCCAGAAGCAACAAAGUCAACCUGGCAGCCCCUGAGCCUGUGAUUCUAUCUCACUUGAGCUCUCUGAUCCAGUUCUUCUAUUUCUCAGUGUUUUUAAAUUCAAUUAUCCCCCUUCAUUGAGAUCUAUUUCCCCCCCUUUCAGUAAAAAAAAAAAAAGAAAAAGAAAAGAAAAGAAAAACAAUAGCAUCAUGGCAGAUAGAAUAUAAGAGAGGGAAUUUAGAAAUACAAUUGCAUUUGUGUGUCCAGUGUGGGAGAAAUUAUUUUCACUGACUGUUCAUUCUACCAUUACAUUAUUUUUACUUUGACUUUCUCAAGGCUCACCUGUCCACUCGAUCACUGUCCUCCAGCAGAGAGGUGAUAAAGACAGGGGGUGGAUGGUCUAUUUUGUCCUUGUGUGAUGCAAAUUCAAAGUGAACAGGCCUCAGAUACAAAUGGAACUCUUCAAAACCCAUCUCCCGUGCCAGUACCUUAUAGAGCCUAAAAGGGGGAGGCAGAUAAAGAACCAAGGGCAUUUGCCAUUAUUUUCCACUAAAAGAAAAGUGGUGAGAAAACCAAAAAAUCUGAAUAAGCAGAAAAACAAAAGUCAAAACAAGAGUAAGCCAAGUCUUGUAUAAAGUGAAUGAGUCACAAAUGUCUUGCAUUUAGUCUAUGCUAUGGCAGUUAAAGAUAGCAAUUAAAGUAGGAGGAGAUGUGCUUGGGCACUUCCUCAACUUUCAUUUCCUGCAAGCUGGCUUCUGUCCUCAGAGUGCUCAUGGGGUCACCAAUACUGCUUUCAAUAC